UUGCCUACGGGAGGCUGCAGUGGGGAAUAUUGGACAAUGGGGGCAACCCUGAUCCAGCCAUGCCGCGUGAGUGAUGAAGGCGCUAGGGUUGUAAAGCUCUUUUGUGCGGGAAGAUAAUGACGGUACCGCAAGAAUAAGCCCCGGCUAACUUCGGGCCAGCAGCCGAGGUAAUACGAAGGGGGCUAGCGUUGCUCGGAAUCACUGGGCGUAAAGGGUGCGUAGGCGGGUCUUUAAGUCAGGGGUGAAAUCCUGGGGCUCAACUUCAGAACUGCCUUGGAUACUGAAGAUCUUGAGUUCGGGAGAGGUGAGUGGAACUGCGAGUGUAGAGGUGAAAUUCGUAGAUAUUCGCAAGAACACCAGUGGCGAAGGCGGCUCACUGGCCCGAUACUGACGCUGAGGCACGAAAGCGUGGGGAGCAAACAGGAUUAGAUACCCCAGUAGUC
rnacentral:rRNA from 1 species